rnacentral:rRNA from 1 species
GAUGAACGCUAGCGACAGGCUUAACACAUGCAAGUCGAGGGGUAACAGGGUAGCAAUACCGCUGACGACCGGCGCACGGGUGAGUAACGCGUAUGCAACCUGCCUAUAACUGGGGAAUAGCUCCCUGAAAGGGGAAUUAACACCGCAUAACACUAUUGAUUCGCAUGGAUUGGCAGUUAAAUGUAGCGAUACAGGUUAUAGAUGGGCAUGCGUGACAUUAGCUAGUUGGUGAGGUAACGGCUCACCAAGGCUACGAUGUCUAGGGGUUCUGAGAGGAAGGUCCCCCACACUGGUACUGAGACACGGACCAGACUCCUACGGGAGGCAGCAGUGAGGAAUAUUGGUCAAUGGGCGCAAGCCUGAACCAGCCAUGUCGCGUGCGGGAUGAAGGCCCUACGGGUUGUAAACCGCUUUUCCCCGGGAAGAAUAAGCCCCCGCGGGGGUGAUGCCGGUACCGGGGAAUAAGGAUCGGCUAACUCCGUGCCAGCAGCCGCGGUAAACAUACUCG